CCUACGGGAGGCAGCAGUGGGGAAUAUUGGGCAAUGGAGGCAACUCUGACCCAGCAACGCCGCGUGAAUGAUGAAGGUCUUCGGAUUGUAAAGUUCUGUGAUGGGGGAUGAACACAAUGACGGUACCCCAAUAGCAAGCCACGGCUAACUACGUGCCAGCAGCCGCGGUAAUACGUAUGUGGCAAGCGUUAUCCGGAAUGACUGGGCGUAAGGGGUGCGUAGGUGGUGUAGUAAGUUGGCGGUGUAAUUCCGGGGCUCAACCUCGGCGCUACCGCCAAAACUAUUAGACAAGAGUGCAGGAGGGGUAAGUGGAAGUCGUAGUGGAGCGGUGGAAUGCGUAGAUAUUAGGAGGAACAUCAGGGGCGAAGGCGACUUACUGGACUGUAACUGACACGGAGGCACGAAAGCGUGGGGAGCAAACAGGAUUAGAUACCCUUGUAGUC
rnacentral:rRNA from 1 species